rnacentral:tRNA from 2 species
UGCCCGAUGGUGUAAUGGUAGCACAACUGAUUCUGGAUCAGUUUGUCUUGGUUCAAAUCCAGGUCGGGCAGCCA